rnacentral:rRNA from 1 species
GUGCCAGCCGCCGCGGUAAUACGAAGGGUGCAAGCGUUAUUCGGAAUCACUGGGCGUAAAGGGUGCGUAGACGGUAUGUUAAGUUUGUUGUUAAAGGCUCCGGCCUAACUGGAGUAUUGCGAUGAAAACUGGCGUGCUAGAGGGUGAGAGAGAGAAGUGGAAUUCCCGGAGUAGCGGUAAAAUGCGUGGAUCUCGGGAGGAACACCAAUGGCGAAGGCAGCUUCUUGGCUCAUUUCCUGACGUUGAGGCACGAAAGCGUGGGGAGCAAACAGGAUUAGAUACCCCGGUAGUCC